UACGUAGGCAGCGAGCGUUGUUCGGAAUUAUUGGGCGUAAAGGGCGCGUAGGCGGUUUGACAAGUCUGAUGUGAAAUCUCUGGGCUCAACCCAGAGUCUGCAUUAGAAACUGUCGGGCUUGAGUAUGGGAGAGGUGAGUGGAAUUUCCGGUGUAGCGGUGAAAUGCGUAGAUAUCGGAAGGAACACCUGUGGCGAAAGCGGCUCACUGGACCAUAACUGACGCCGAGGCGCGAAAGCUAGGGGAGCAAACAGG
rnacentral:rRNA from 1 species